UAGAAAGUUCAAGACCAGACUUACCUUGUA
rnacentral:piRNA from 1 species